rnacentral:rRNA from 1 species
CCUACGGGUGGCUGCAGUAGGGAAUCUUCCACAAUGGACGAAAGUCUGAUGGAGCAACGCCGCGUGAGCGAAGAAGGUUUUCGGAUCGUAAAGCUCUGUUGUGAGGGAAGAACAAGUACGGGAGUAACUGCCCGUACCUUGACGGUACCUCAUUAGAAAGCCACGGCUAACUACGUGCCAGCAGCCGCGGUAAUACGUAGGUGGCAAGCGUUGUCCGGAAUUAUUGGGCGUAAAGCGCGCGCAGGCGGUCCUUUAAGUCUGAUGUGAAAGCCCACGGCUCAACCGUGGAGGGUCAUUGGAAACUGGGGGACUUGAGUACAGAAGAGGAAAGCGGAAUUCCACGUGUAGCGGUGAAAUGCGUAGAGAUGUGGAGGAACACCAGUGGCGAAGGCGGCUUUCUGGUCUGUAACUGACGCUGAGGCGCGAAAGCGUGGGGAGCAAACAGGAUUAGAUACCCGUGUAGUC